rnacentral:lncRNA from 1 species
UGGUUGACCGGGUCACGCCACACAUUUUUUAAACUAGAUACCCCAAUGAUGAUUGUGGCCAAGUUUGGUUCAAUUUGGCCCAGUAGUUUCAGAGAGAAAUUUUUGUAAAAGUUAACGACGACGGACGACGGACGACGGACGACAGACGACGGACGACGACGACGGACGACGGACGCAAAGUGAUGGGAAAAGCUCACUUGGCCCUUCAGGCCAGGUGAGCUAAAAAAGGACCGAGGAACAUUGUCUCAUAUAUACAGUCCUUACUACAAUAGUCAUUUCGGGGCCUUAUUUGCUUACUAUUCGAUAUCGGUUUUGCUUAUUGUUGAAGGAUGAAUGGUGACCUAUAUUUGUUUACUUCUAUGUCAUUUGGUCGCUGUUAGAGGGUUGUCUCAUUGUCAAUUGUGUUUAUAUUUAUAUAUUCAUGUGUAUAGCACUGGCAAGAAACUUAUUCUAAACAUUAUUGUAAUAUAUAGGUUGAUCGAAAAUCCAAUGUGGUACUAUUACAUCCUGCUACAAAAUAGGUCGUUAAAAUUCAUGAUGAAAUACAAAGAUACAGGACAAUAAUUCAUGCAUGCAAUGUCCAGGAUAUUAUUUAUAACGAGAA